UACAGGGGGUGCAAACGUUGCUCGGAAUCAUUGGGCGUAAAGCGCACGUAGGCGGUUCGUUAUGUCGGAUGUGAAAGCCCUUGGCUUAACCGAGGAAGUGCAUCCGAAACUGGCGAGCUAGAGUACGAAAGAGGAUCGCGGAAUUCCCGGUGUAGAGGUGAAAUUCGUAGAUAUCAGGAGGAACACCAGUGGCGAAGGCGGCUUUCUGGACGGUAACUGACGCUGAGACGCGAAAGCGUGGGGAGCAAACAGG
rnacentral:rRNA from 1 species